UACGGAGGAUCCAAGCGUUAUCCGGAUUUAUUGGGUUUAAAGGGUGCGUAGGCGGCCUGUUAAGUCAGGGGUGAAAGACGGUAGCUCAACUAUCGCAGUGCCCUUGAUACUGAUGGGCUUGAAUGGACUAGAGGUAGGCGGAAUGAGACAAGUAGCGGUGAAAUGCAUAGAUAUGUCUUAGAACUUCGAUUGCGAAGGCAGCUCACUAAGCUGGUAUUGACGCUGAUGCACGAAAGCGUGGGGAUCGAACAGG
rnacentral:rRNA from 1 species